rnacentral:rRNA from 1 species
GACGAACCGAGCGAACGUUAUUCGGAAUCACUGGGCUUAAAGGGCGCGUAGGCGGGCAUUCAAGUCUGUGGUGAAAUCCUCCAGCUCAACGGGAGAACUGCCGUGGAUACUGGGUGUCUCGAGGGAGGUAGGGGCGUGCGGAACUAAUGGUGGAGCGGUGAAAUGCGUUGAUAUCAUUAGGAACUCCGGUGGCGAAGGCGGCACGCUGGGCCUCAUCUGACGCUGAGGCGCGAAAGCCAGGGGAGCAAACGGG